GACGUAGGGCGCGAGCGUUGUCCGGAUUUAUUGGGCGUAAAGAGCUUGUAGGCGGUUUGUCGCGUCUGCUGUGAAAAUCCGGGGCUCAACCCCGGACUUGCAGUGGGUACGGGCAGACUAGAGUGCGGUAGGGGAGAUUGGAAUUCCUGGUGUAGCGGUGGAAUGCGCAGAUAUCAGGAGGAACACCAAUGGCGAAGGCAGAUCUCUGGGCCGUAACUGACGCUGAGGAGCGAAAGCAUGGGGAGCGAACAGG
rnacentral:rRNA from 1 species